rnacentral:rRNA from 1 species
AGAGUUUGAUCCUGGCUCAGGAUGAACGCUAGCGACAGGCUUAACACAUGCAAGUCGAGGGGCAGCAGGGGAGUAGCAAUACUCCCGCUGGCGACCGGCGCACGGGUGAGUAACACGUAUGCAACCUGCCCUUGUCAGGGGGAUAAGCGGAAGAAAUUCCGUCUAAUACCGCAUAACGCUGCGGGGAGACAUCUCCCUGCAGCCAAAGAUUUAUCGGACAAGGAUGGGCAUGCGGCGCAUUAGCUGGUUGGCGGGGUAACGGCCCACCAAGGCGACGAUGCGUAGGGGUUCUGAGAGGAAGGUCCCCCACACUGGUACUGAGACACGGACCAGACUCCUACGGGAGGCAGCAGUGAGGAAUAUUGGUCAAUGGCCGGGAGGCUGAACCAGCCAAGUCGCGUGAGGGAAGACGGUCCUAUGGAUUGUAAACCUCUUUUGUCAGGGAGCAAAAACUGCCACGCGUGGCAGGAUGAGAGUACCUGAAGAAAAAGCAUCGGCUAACUCCGUGCCAGCAGCCGCGGUAAUACGGAGGAUGCGAGCGUUAUCCGGAUUUAUUGGGUUUAAAGGGUGCGUAGGCGGACAGUUAAGUCAGCGGUAAAAUUGAGAGGCUCAACCUCUUCCCGCCGUUGAAACUGACUGUCUUGAGUGGGCGAGAAGUAUGCGGAAUGCGUGGUGUAGCGGUGAAAUGCAUAGAUAUCACGCAGAACUCCGAUUGCGAAGGCAGCAUACCGGCGCCCAACUGACGCUGAAGCACGAAAGCGUGGGUAUCGAACAGGAUUAGAUACCCUGGUAGUCCACGCAGUAAACGAUGAAUACUAAUUGUUCGGGUCAAAUGAGAUCUGAGUGAUACAGCGAAAGCGUUAAGUAUUCCACCUGGGGAGUACGCCGGCAACGGUGAAACUCAAAGGAAUUGACGUGGGCCCGCACAAGCGGAGGAACAUGUGGUUUAAUUCGAUGAUACGCGAGGAACCUUACCCGGGUUCAAACGACACAGGAAUGAUCUGAGAAAUCAGACAGUCCUUCGGGACCUGUGUCGAGGUGCUGCAUGGUUGUCGUCAGCUCGUGCCGUGAGGUGUCGGCUUAAGUGCCAUAACGAGCGCAACCCCCAUCGACAGUUGCCAGCAGGUGAAGCUGGGCACUCUGUCGAGACUGCCGGCGCAAGCUGUGAGGAAGGCGGGGAUGACGUCAAAUCAGCACGGCCCUUACGUCCGGGGCGACACACGUGUUACAAUGGCAGGUACAGCGGGAAGCCACCUGGCGACAGGGAGCGGAACCCGAAAGCCUGUCUCAGUUCGGAUUGGAGUCUGCAACUCGACUCCAUGAAGCUGGACUCGCUAGUAAUCGCGCAUCAGCCACGGCGUGGUGAAUACGUUCCCGGGCCUUGCACACACCGCCCGUCA